rnacentral:lncRNA from 1 species
CACUCGAGUUCAACUGUGAAUUUCGUGUAAACUCUCUUUCAGUAUUCACACUUGCUUCAUUCAAAGACUUUCUGAACUCAGUCUUCCUAAUCGUAUAGGACUACUCCUUUUCUAUCAAGAUCGAUAGAUUUCAUCUAGGUACAUCCUACUCUAGUAGCGAAUCUGAACCUACUAUAAUCAACAUACACAGCAAGGAUCUGAAUAGCUAGGGACCAAGAGAAUGUACAGUCAAAACUAGUAGUCUCACUACGAAUAGCCAAUACAUCACAAGUCAAAGGACCACUCACUCCACUACAGCAUCGAGAAGACCACUG